rnacentral:rRNA from 1 species
UACGAAGGGGGCUAGCGUUGCUCGGAAUUACUGGGCGUAAAGCGCACGUAGGCGGAUGUGUCAGUCAGGGGUGAAAUCCCGGGGCUCAACCUCGGAACUGCCUUUGAUACAGCACGUCUCGAGUCCGGAAGAGGUGGGUGGAAUUCCUAGUGUAGAGGUGAAAUUCGUAGAUAUUAGGAAGAACACCGGUGGCGAAGGCGGGUCUCUGGGCCGAAAUUGACGCUGAGGAGCGAAAGCGUGGGGAGCAAACAGG